AGGACGAACGCUGGCGGCGUGCUUAACACAUGCAAGUCGAACGGAAAGGCCCUUCGGGGUACUCGAGUGGCGAACGGGUGAGUAACACGUGGGUGAUCUGCCCGCACUUUGGGAUAAGCCUGGGAAACUGGGUCUAAUACCGAAUAGGACCAUGGCAUGCAUGUGCUGUGGUGGAAAGCUUUUGCGGUGUGGGAUGGGCCCGCGGCCUAUCAGCUUGUUGGUGGGGUUAAGGCCUACCAAGGCGACGACGGGUAGCCGGCCUGAGAGGGUGUCCGGCCACACUGGGACUGAGAUACGGCCCAGACUCCUACGGGAGGCAGCAGUGGGGAAUAUUGCGCAAUGGAGGCAACUCUGACGGAGCAACGCCGCGUGCAGGAUGAAGGUUUUCGGAUCGUAAACUGCUUUUCUCGGGGACGAGCAAGGACGGUACCCGAGGAAGAAGCCCCGGCUAACUACGUGCCAGCAGCCGC
rnacentral:rRNA from 1 species